UUUUAUCAUUUUUGGAUGGAUUUUCAGCCGCUAAAAUUUCAGUUCACAAAAAACCAGCAACAACAUGAAACUCAAAAGCUUCCAUAACUCCAUGUCCUCAAACCUCCUACUUUCCAGUAUUCAAUUCCAUUUCCACCCACAACACCACCACCAUCUCAAUUCUUGUUCUCCGAAAGCCCACCAGUAUAACUCCUCUAAGGGCUCGUCCCUCACAGCUCAAUCGAAACUUGCCAAGCACGAACUCCUCAACCUCAUAUCCGAUCAAGAUCGAGGCCUCAAAACCCAAAAGAACCCGGCCAAACGAGACUCCAUUAUCAAUGCCAUAGAUGCUCUUGCUGAUCUGGGCAGCGAUACUGUUACUACCGGGACUUCGCUCUCGGCUACGUGGAGACUACUCUGGACCACCGAAAAAGAGCAGCUCUUCAUCAUAGAAAAUGCCCACUUGUUUGGUACCCAAGUCGGUGAAGUUUUGCAGGUCAUCGAUGUCGAGCAGAAGCUCCUUAACAAUGUCAUCACUUUUCCUCCAGAUGGCGUUUUCUUCGUUCGGUCCAAUAUCGAAAUCGCUUCGCCACAGAGAGUGAAUUUCAGAUUUACAAGCGCGGUUUUACGAGGGAAGAACUGGGAGAUUCCGUUGCCCCCAUUUGGUCAGGGUUGGUUUGAGUCGGUGUUCCUUGAUGAUGAAAUUCGCGUUGUGAAGGACAUCAGGGGAGACUACUUGGUUGUAGAUCGUGCUCCCUAUGCUUGGAAAGAAUGAAGGGCAAAACCUAUGGCUUGUAGGAUAAUUGGAACAUAAAAAAGUGAGUUCGCUUGUUCAAAACCAGCUACUUUAAUCGACUCACCUGAAUAUGUUUCUAGGUGAUGUAAUAUCCCAGAUCCCAUAUAAAUGUCUCAUUAUGAUAACGAUUUCUUUUUCACAUUCAUUGGCAAUUUGAGGAUAUUGCUCCUUGGAUUCGAUCAUUUUUUCUUGAAACAGGAUUCGAUCAUAAUGUCUCAUCUUUGGACACAUAUAUUGAUGUUUACUAGGUGCAGUAAUUGCUUGUUUCUUCUCUGUUUAGGAGGAAGAGCAAUAAUGUUUAUUCUUUCUUUGUAAUUGAAAUACACUAAGUUUGUGUUGGCAUAUGUAAAGUAUGCAGAGGAAAUAUUUGACUGAUGUGCUGAUAUUUCUUGUUUCCAUCAACCCAAGUUCUUGGUUAGUGACUGCUCCUUGUAUUAGGUCCCAACCAUAAGUCCAUUCUCUGUAAGAUUUUCUGUGGUCUUCCUAUUCCAGAGAAGUAAGCUUGAAGAAUUAGACUCUCAAUUACUUCAAUUGCUGUACGCAUUAAUAUUCUCGCAUACCUUCUAACCUUCCCUCCUAACCAACAAAACAGUUAUCCUCCUCAGCACCACUAAUAGAUAGAGUGGCUGUGCUGCUAAUGUUGCCUCUGAAACUCUCUUUGAGGUUUGAAUCUGUUUACCUGGAUGAUGAUAUUAGAGUUGCAAAGGAUAUUCGUGGAGACUACUUAGUUGUUGAUCACGCUCCUUAUAAUUGGAAAGAGUAAGAUGUAUAACUCGGUAAUCUGUCAUUCUCUUGCAUUGUCCUUUGCAUAAUAUGUACUUACAUUGUUUUUCUUAGUUACCUGACCAUUUUAGUACACUCGGCCAAAUUUGUUUUGUGCACGUAGUUUUUGAACUCGUUAACUUGUUCUCUGAUCUUUGCUUCUUUCCCAUAUAUUUUUAGCAUUUUGAGGCUGCAUGUAGGGAAAUGAGAUCCUUUCUUUACAGCCCCUAGAUUUCAUAUAUAAUUUUGUCAAGCUCUUGCUUUGGGAAGAUUUCAAGUCAUGCUCCGACUUUCAUUGAAUGUUUCGUUUCCAUAGCAGCUGGCCUAUACUUCCUCACUCUCUUUCCUUGCAGAGUAAAUGUAUUCAUAUGUUACAGUGUAUAGAAAAGUAUAUAGGCACUGUAAAAAAAACCCUCUACGAUUAGGAUUUAGCCAUAUUAUAAUUUAGACCGUGAUGCUUAAAGCAGGCAUAUUGAAGAUGGGCUGAUGGGUUUGUAUAAUAUAUUUGUUACACCUUUAUUAAACGACAUAACUUACUUUUUGUUGAUA